AAAGCUUUAAGUUAAUUAAAAUAAACUAUUAACCUUCAAAGUUAAAUAUAUAGAUAAUAUAAGCUUUA
rnacentral:tRNA from 1 species